AUUGAACGCUGGCGGAAUGCUUUACACAUGCAAGUCGAGCGGCAGCGCGGGGGCAACCCUGGCGGCGAGCGGCGAACGGGUGAGUAACAUAUCGGAACGUACCCCGUCGUGGGGGAUAACACAGCGAAAGCUGUGCUAAUACCGCAUACGACCUGAGGGUGAAAGCGGGGGAUCGCAAGACCUCGCGCGAUGGGAGCGGCCGAUAUCGGAUUAGCUUGUUGGUGAGGUAAAGGCUCACCAAGGCGACGAUCCGUAGCUGGUCUGAGAGGACGACCAGCCACACUGGAACUGAGACACGGUCCAGACUCCUACGGGAGGCAGCAGUGGGGAAUUUUGGACAAUGGGGGGCAACCCUGAUCCAGCCAUUCCGCGUGAGUGAAGAAGGCCUC
rnacentral:rRNA from 1 species